rnacentral:rRNA from 1 species
CCACGGGAGGCUGCAGUGGGGAAUAUUGGACAAUGGGCGAAAGCCUGAUCCAGCCAUGCCGCGUGUGUGAAGAAGGCCUUCGGGUUGUAAAGCACUUUCAGUGGGGAAGAAAGCCUUGGGGCUAAUACCCUCGAGGAAGGACAUCACCCACAGAAGAAGCACCGGCUAACUCCGUGCCAGCAGCCGCGGUAAUACGGAGGGUGCGAGCGUUAAUCGGAAUUACUGGGCGUAAAGCGCGCGUAGGCGGUCUGAUAAGCCGGUUGUGAAAGCCCCGGGCUCAACCUGGGAACGGCAUCCGGAACUGUCAGGCUAGAGUGCAGGAGAGGAAGGUAGAAUUCCCGGUGUAGCGGUGAAAUGCGUAGAGAUCGGGAGGAAUACCAGUGGCGAAGGCGGCCUUCUGGACUGACACUGACGCUGAGGUGCGAAAGCGUGGGUAGCAAACAGGAUUAGCUACCCCGGUAGUC